AACGCUGGCGGCGUGCUUAACACAUGCAAGUCGAACGAGAAAGUUCUCUUCGGAGAACGAGUAAAGUGGCGCACGGGUGAGUAACGCGUGAAUAAUCUACCCCUGAAUUUGGGAUAACAGUUCGAAAGGGCUGCUAAUACCGGAUAACAUUGUCUUUUUUUACGGAUUAGACAAUCAAAGAGGGCCUCUCCUUGGAAGCUUUUGUUUGGGGAUGAGUUCGCGUCCCAUUAGUUAGUUGGUGAGGUAACGGCUCACCAAGACAUCGAUGGGUAGCUGGUCUGAGAGGAUGAUCAGCCACACUGGAACUGACACACGGUCCAGACUCCUACGGGAGGCAGCAGUGAGGAAUUUUGCGCAAUGGGCGAAAGCCUGACGCAGCAACGCCGCGUGAGUGAUGAAGGCUCUUGGGUCGUAAAGCUCUGUCAAGUGGGAAGAAACCUCUUGGAGUUAAUACCUUCAAGAAUUGACGGUACCACUGAAGGAAGCACCGGCUAACUCCGUG
rnacentral:rRNA from 1 species